UACUACCUACGGGGCGCAGCAGUAGGGAAUCUUUCACAAUGGGCGAAAGCCUGAUGGAGCAACGCCGCGCGCAGGAUGAAGGCCUUCGGGUUGUAAACUGCUUUUAUAAGCGAGAAAUAUGAUGGUAACUUAUGAAUAAGGAUCGGCUAACUACGUGCCAGCAGCCGCGGUAAUACGUAGGGGGCGAGCGUUAUCCGGAUUCACUGGGUGUAAAGGGAGCGUAGACGGCCAUGCAAGCCAGGGGUGAAAGCCCGGGGCCCAACCCCGGGACUGCCCUUGGAACUGCAUGGCUGGAGUGCGGGAGG
rnacentral:rRNA from 1 species